rnacentral:rRNA from 1 species
CCUACCAUGGUGGUAACGGGUAACGGGGAAUUAGGGUUCGAUUCCGGAGAGGGAGCCUGAGAAACGGCUACCACAUCCAAGGAAGGCAGCAGGCGCGCAAAUUACCCAAUCCCGACACGGGGAGGUAGUGACAAUAAAUAACAAUACGGGGCUCUUUCGGGUCUCGUAAUUGGAAUGAGUACAAUUUAAAUCCCUUAACGAGGAACAAUUGGAGGGCAAGUCUGGUGCCAGCAGCCGCGGUAAUUCCAGCUCCAAUAGCGUAUAUUAAAGUUGUUGCAGUUAAAAAGCUCGUAGUUGAAUUUCGGGAUUGACACAUCGGUCGUGCCUUAAGGGGUAUGAACUGGUGUAGUCAAUUUCUCACCUUCUGGAGAACCGCGAUGCCCUUAAUUGGGUGUCACGGGGAACCAGGACCUUUACUUUGAAAAAAUUAGAGUGUUUAAAGCAGGCAUUUUGCUUGAAUACAUUAGCAUGGAAUAAUAAAAUAGGACGGCAUGAUUCUAUUUUGUUGGUUUCUAGGAUCACCGUAAUGAUUAAUAGGGAUAGUUGGGGGCAUUAGUAUUCAAUUGUCAGAGGUGAAAUUCUUGGAUUUAUUGAAGACUAACUACUGCGAAAGCAUUUGCCAAGGAUGUUUUCAUUAAUCAAGAACGAAAGUUAGGGGAUCGAAGACGAUCAGAUACCGUCGUAGUCUUAACCAUAAACUAUGCCGACUAGGAAUCAGACGAUGUUAAUUUUUUAAUGACUCGUUUGGCACCUUA